AUGUACAAACAAGGGAAGAUGUGCCCACAGGCGUGUUGUCGCUCGCUAUACCGCAAUAAAAGGCUUUCUGGUAGAAAUUUAGCUCAAACUGUUGUUCAAGUGGUGUACAUUGGGGAGAAGAGAACAGAGCUGUGUGUGUUGGAAUUAAAGCUGGAGAGCAUUUGUGGAGGGAUUCUGAUAACAUCCGCAUUUCAAUUUUAUCAUAUUUGCUAUUUUUCUCAUUCAGUAGUUCCGAAGCAGGGUAUAAAAUUCCUUAUGAAAGCACCGUGCAUACAUUUGACACCAGUGAAAAAACGUCAAAUUCAGUUCAGAAAUUUCAUCCGUACUUUCUGA
rnacentral:rRNA from 1 species